CACACUGCCACUCGGUUGGCCUCAGCAUUCACCUUUUGUUUUGUUGGAAAAAAAUCCAAUUGCAUAAUGUUUGUUAUUUCUUACAUUUUUCUGAUUCCAAACACUACCGAUUCCAACUCUUUCUCUUCCUUCUCUACGGCCGUUACCAACAUGAAAGAUAUGACAGUUUCGCAUAGCCCUUACUAUUCCAUAUUCCAUCUGCAAAAACGGUUUCAACAUUUGUUACUCUACAAUCGUCCCAUCUUUCAUUCUUCUCUCGUCGACUUCCUCUCUUCUUCUUCUUUCUUUCUCAAUUCACAUUUCAUUUCUCUCUCCUUCCUCCAUAUUCUUUCAUUUUGA